AUAGUCGGAUUCACAUCAGUCCAUAUGUGUUGAGUUGUAUUGGAGUGAAACUUAAACUAAAUUUCACCACAAUCCAAAACAACACACAUGGAUUGAAGUGAACCCAACA
rfam:Sorghum bicolor cultivar BTx623 chromosome 10, whole genome shotgun sequence.